rnacentral:sRNA from 1 species
CGUCGUCGAUCUGCUGGGGACAGAUGAAAUGGAUAUGAACGUCGAGCGCGCCGGCGGUGAGGAUCUUGCCCUCGCCCGCGAUCGCCUCCGUACCCGGCCCGACAACGAUGUCGACAUUCGGCUGCACGUCCGGAUUGCCGGCCUUGCCGAUCCCGGCGAUGCGGCCGUCUUUCAGGCCGACAUCGGCCUUCACGAUGCCCCAGUGGUCGACGAUCAGCGCGUUGGUGAUCACCGUGUCGACGGCGCCAGCAGAACGCGGUGCCUGGGACUGGCCCAUGCCGUCGCGGAUG